rnacentral:rRNA from 1 species
UCUACGGGAGGCAGCAGUGGGGAAUAUUGCGCAAUGGGCGAAAGCCUGACGCAGCGACGCCGCGUGAGGGAUGAAGGUCUUCGGAGCGGAAACCUCUGUAAGCAGGGAAGAACGGUCACUGUGCUAAUCAGCAGUGAAUUGACGGUACCUGCAAAGGAAGCACCGGCUAACUCCGUGCCAGCAGCCGCGGUAAUACGGAGGGUGCGAGCGUUAAUCGGAAUUACUGGGCGGAAGUCGCUCGGAGGCGGGAUGUCAAGUCAAGGGUGAAAUCCCCGCGCUCAACGUGGGAACUGCCUUUGAAACUGGCAAACUGGAGUGUGUGAGAGGAUAGUGGAAUUCCGGGUGUAGGAGUGAAAUCCGUAGAUAUCUGGAGGAACAUCAGUGGCGAAGGCGACUAUCUGGCACAUAACUGACGCUGAGGAGCGAAAGCGUGGGUAGCAAACAGGAUUAGAUACCCGAGUAGUC